rnacentral:rRNA from 1 species
AUUGAACGCUGGCGGCAUGCCUUACACAUGCAAGUCGAACGGCAGCACGGGAGCAAUCCUGGUGGCGAGUGGCGAACGGGUGAGUAAUAUAUCGGAACGUGCCCAGUCGUGGGGGAUAACGCAGCGAAAGCUGUGCGAAUACCGCAUACGAUCUAAGGAUGAAAGCGGGGGACCGCAAGACCUCGCGCGAUUGGAGCGGCCGAGAUCAGAUUAGCAAGUUGGCGGGGUAAAGGCCCACCAAGGGGACGAUCUGUAGCUGGUCUGAGAGGGCGACAGCCACACUGGAGCUGAGACACGGUCCAGACUCCUACGGGAGGCAGCAGUGGGGAAUUUUGGACAAUGGGCGCAAGCCUGAUCCAGCAAUGCCGCGUGCAGGAUGAAGGCCUUCGGGUUGUAAACUGCUUUUGUACGGAACGAAACGGCCCUUUCUAAUACAGGGGGCUAAUGACGGUACCGUAAGAAUAAGCACCGGCUAACUACGUGCCAGCCGCCGCGGUAA